rnacentral:lncRNA from 1 species
GCCAUUUCAGCUUCACUGCUCUUCUGUAAAACUUUGUCUCUCCUCCUGGGAGUCAGCAAAAAGAGCAUUUAGCAACCAGGAAGAGCAGCAGGGAAGAUAGAGAGGUGAAGUAAAAGGCAGAAGGACCAGCCAAGCCAAGGAGCCAGAGCUUGUGUUCAGGCUGGUCAGAGGGCCAACUCUGAGCCAUAGAUGUUUUCAUCAUGAUCAACAGCUAGCACUUUACAAUGUUCAAAGAUAUAGCUGGGCAUGGAACAGCUGGAGAAACCAAGGGAGAAAUAGCUGGAGAAGCCAGGACUGCAUUGCCAUAUCCCUGCAGGAGAUUCCUAUUGCAUAAAAUAUUCCAGCGAUCAAGCAGCAAUUGCCAACCUGUCGGCCUGAGGGAGAGCUCUGGGAGUGAAAGGCAAGCUCUGCUCUCCUGGAAGCAAAGCUGCAGCAAACGAGAAGUGGCAGAAGCACACGAUGGGGGUUGGUAUGUGGGGCAGGCUCUCAGUCUCCCCAUCCUCUGUCCUUUGUCGUCAACAUGUUCAAGAGCCCAGCCUGCAAACAACAAAACUCCUAGCCAGCCAAAGUUUCCUUUCUAAGCUUUACAGCUUAGAAGUACACAAAGGUGUAUAAUUAUUUUGUGUGAGCAGACUGAUUUGUACAGGGGCCACUGGAUCAACUGGAAGUCUCAAAAUGCAGAGGUGAUAUCAGGAUAAAAACUAAUGUGAAAC